CCCCCCCAAAAAAAAACGUACUUCACCUGUUACGAACAGGCGAAUUCCCUUGAAAUUUGUUGAAAUAAUUGAUCACAUUAUCGCACAGUCCACGUAAGAGAUAAUAAUACGUAUUAUUAUUAUACCAAUAAUAACAGUAAAUGGUGGACAUUGUUGCAGAAAUUGUCCCGGGGUGGAGAUCCAACUUUCCCAGGGAAAUUAUACCGAUUUCCGAAAUGCGGUUGAAGGCCCGAAUAAGCACAGCUGGGCAUCUGCUCCUGGGCCCAUUCAUGGGGGGUGGGGGGGGGUCAGCGCUAUAAGCUCGUUAUGCAGAUGCACAGCUCAGUUUAUAACGGGAAGCCCCUCCAGCCCCGUCCCGACGCAUCCCCUCCGUCACGUGAUCAGACCCCUUCUCUGGGAUUUAUGCAACAUUUUGGACGAUCGCGUUCUGUCGUUCUGACGUUUGUUAAAUUCUAGUCUGUUAUUGUAAGUGGCACUUUUUUUUAAAUUUUGUGCUGGAGAAUUGCUGUAAUUUCUGCUUCUUUUUUUUUUAAAACCGGUUCCUCUCAGCUGGCUCGAGAUAAAUGAAUGAAAAAACAAACUAAGUUGUUGAUAAGAUUUUCUUAAUUGCAGGAAAUUUCUCCUUAAAACAACGACAGAAGUUUAUCGAAGAGGGAAUAAAACAAUUUUAUUUUUGUUUGUUUCUUCUUCUUCUUCUUCUCCCUAAACCUCCCACACUUUUAUACUGGCUCUGCUGCUUGUUUUGAGAGGCAUAUAAAGAGGUGUAAUUUUGCAAACAUUUCUUAAGUGCAGAGAGCCAGAAGGACCCUCCAGUAUUGUCCUGGGAGAGAAAGAGAAACACGUUGACAAAGGAAUCCAUUGUUCCUGGCGAACAAUUCAAGGGGCCUAGUAAGCUGUCCUCUACGAUCAGGCAGCCGGCCGCUGAUUUGAAUGCAAGGGGCCCCUCCAAGGAGAAAUGGAUUCGUCCCACUUGGUCCCCAGUAAAGAUAAAUUGGUCCACGUGUUUACAGAUUGGUGAGGCCCCAGUCGAGAGGUUUGGGGCGUCGGAGCAUCAGGUUUUGCAUACAGCUGGAUUCAAGUCUGGGGCAACGCCACUGACGGGCGUUAUGGAAAUGUGACCAACAUUUGACAUAAUUUAAUACAAAAAUCUGUGUGUGUGUGUUCAGGCUUUAAGAUGACAGAUAUUGUAAAUGAAAUUCAGAUGGAGG